rnacentral:rRNA from 1 species
AAUAUUGGACAAUGGGGGCAACGCUGAUCCAGCCAUGCCGCGUGUGAAGAAGGUCUUCNGAUUGUNANGCACAUUAAGUUGGGAGNCAGGGCUGUAGGUUAAUACCCUGAAGUUUUGACGUUACCAACAGAAUAAUCACCGGCUAACUCUGUGCCAGCAGCCCCGGUAAUACAGAGGGUGCAAGCGUUAAUCGGAAUUACUGGGCGUAAAGCGCGCGUAGGUGGUUCAGUAAGAUGGGUGUGAAAUCCCCGGGCUUAACCUGGGAACUGCUUUCAUAACUGCUGAGCUAGAGUACGGUAGAGGGUAGUGGAAUUUCCUGUGUAGCGGUGAAAUGCGUAGAUAUAGGAAGGAACACCAGUGGCGAAGGCGACUACCUGGACUGAUACUGACACUGAGGUGCGAAAGCGUGGGGAGCAAACA